AGGUCACUCAGAGCGGAGCCCGGCGCGACCAUUCGCUGCGGCGCAUCCCGGCAGCCACCGCGGCGACUGGGCGGCGGGUGCCAUGCGCCUGGAGUACAUCCUCUGCCCCCACCCACCGCGCCAGCACUCCCGGGUCACGCCUUGGGGCGCGCGCACCUGCCAAGCAGAUUCAAAACUGAACUAUCUUGCAAAAAAUACAAGAUAUUGAAAGUUUUCAUGAGCGCCUACCACCUAAUCCCAAACACUAUCGUUCAUAUGUGCCUCAUUGAGCAAAUCUUUAUUGAGGAUCAUAUGCCAGAAAAAGAAAAGAG